GGCUUUAUAGUUGAAAUAACAACAUUAAAUUGCAGAUUUAAAGGUAUAUUAUUAUUAAGGCUU
rnacentral:tRNA from 1 species